rnacentral:tRNA from 1 species
CGCUAAGAAGCUAAAUAGGACCUAGCGUUAGCCUUUUAAGCUGGAGUUUGGUGACUCCCGACCACCCCUAGCGA